GUCCACGCCCUAAACGAUGACGACUGGUUGUUGGGGGAGUUGUCCCUCAGUAACGAAGCUAACGCGUGAAGUCGUCCGCCUGGGGAGUACGGUCGCAAGAUUAAAACUCAAAGGAAUUGACGGGGACCCGCACAAGCGGUGGAUGAUGUGGUUUAAUUCGAUGCAACGCGAAGAACCUUACCUACCCUUGACAUGUCCGGAACCCUGCUGAGAGGUGGGGGUGCCCGAAAGGGAGCCGGAACACAGGUGCUGCAUGGCUGUCGU
rnacentral:rRNA from 1 species